GCUCUCGGUACUUGAUUAUUCUUCUUCCUGCCUGCCGCUACUUAUCGCCAUAUUAUCUGCUUCCAUGCUACAGCUAGCGUCGAGUACGCUUAUCUCUGUCUUUUGAAGGACAAAUUUUCCGAAUCAGCCUUUAAAUCCAAUCCAGACUCCAGCUAGCUUGUGUCGUAAUAACAUAAAGAUGUUUAUUGAAGCACCCGCCACCAUGGAGGUUGAAACAGUGCCUUCUGAACCUAAACCCGAAUCAAAUCCAUUGCCCCCAAAGCCAAUAUUCGAGUCUCUUUAAGGCUCACGAGAUGUCGGACGGUCGAGUCCAGUUUAGAAGGGUCUCGGUUCCACCUCACAAGUAUUCGCCUCUCAAGAAAUGCUGGAUGGACAUCUAUACUCCAAUCUACGAGCAGAUGAAGGUUGACAUCCGAAUGAAUCUCAAAGUUCGGGUGCGUGUUUCGUAUGUGAAAAGUCAGUAAUAACCUUAUCUCAUAUGAUAUGGUUACACGUUUUAAGGAUAAUUUAUCAGAUGAGAAUGACUGCUGAUCCCCAUUUCUUAGUUUGCAUGGAGAAAGUAAUUACAAACACUUGAAUCCAACUUCAAUUUACACUA